rnacentral:lncRNA from 1 species
CUUGGAAAACUAAGACAUGGAGAGACCACUUCAUUCAUUCCCCUGUUUAGAGAACCAAGCAGUAUUGAGAAAAUUUUGGAUGAGGCUGAAAGAGAGAAUAAAUUAAUUUUCAGGCCUCCAACGCCUCCUGAGGAACUGACAACACCACCUUUUGUGCCUCCAAGAGCCGAUUCUCCGAGGGUUGCUUCUCAAAGAGUCACCUCUCCAAGAGCUGCUACUCCAAGAGCUGUUUCCCCUAGAGCGGCAUCUCCAAGGGUUGCUUCCCCUAGAGCAGCUUCUCCUAGGAAUGCUCAACGCCAUAAGGAGAUAUAUUACAGACCAGAACCAACUCUAAGAAACCAUCAUGCUU